rnacentral:rRNA from 1 species
GGGCGCACGGUGGAUGCCUUGACACUAGGAGUCGAUGAAGGACGGGACUAACGCCGAUAUGCUUCGGGGAGCUGUAAGUAAGCUUUGAUCCGAAGAUUUCCGAAUGGGGAAACCCACCAUACGUAAUGGUAUGGUAUCCUUAUCUGAAUACAUAGGGUAAGGAAGACAGACCCAGGGAACUGAAACAUCUAAGUACCUGGAGGAAGAGAAAGCAAAUGCGAUUUCCUGAGUAGCGGCGAGCGAAACGGAACAUAGCCCAAACCAAGAGGCUUGUCUCUUGGGGUUGUAGGACAUUCUAUACGGAGUUACAAAGGAACGAGGUAGACGAAGCGACCUGGAAAGGUCCGUCGUAGAGGGUAACAACCCCGUAGUCGAAACUUCGUUCUCUCUUGAAUGUAUCCUGAGUACGGCGGAACACGUGAAAUUCCGUCGGAAUCUGGGAGGACCAUCUCCCAAGGCUAAAUACUCCCUAGUGAUCGAUAGUGAACCAGUACCGUGAGGGAAAGGUGAAAAGCACCCCGGAAGGGGAGUGAAAGAGAUCCUGAAACCGUGUGCCUACAAAUAGUCAGAGCCCGUUAACGGGUGAUGGCGUGCCUUUUGUAGAAUGAACCGGCGAGUUACGAUCCCGUGCGAGGUUAAGCUGAAGAGGCGGAGCCGCAGCGAAAGCGAGUCUGAAUAGGGCGUUUAGUACGUGGUCGUAGACCCGAAACCAGGUGAUCUACCCAUGUCCAGGGUGAAGUUCAGGUAACACUGAAUGGAGGCCCGAACCCACGCACGUUGAAAAGUGCGGGGAUGAGGUGUGGGUAGCGGAGAAAUUCCAAUCGAACCUGGAGAUAGCUGGUUCUCCCCGAAAUAGCUUUAGGGCUAGCCUUAAGUGUAAGAGUCUUGGAGGUAGAGCACUGAUUGGACUAGGGGUCCUCAUCGGAUUACCGAAUUCAGUCAAACUCCGAAUGCCAAUGACUUAUCCUUAGGAGUCAGACUGCGAGUGAUAAGAUCCGUAGUCAAAAGGGAAACAGCCCAGACCGCCAGCUAAGGUCCCAAAGUGUGUAUUAAGUGGAAAAGGAUGUGGAGUUGCUUAGACAACUAGGAUGUUGGCUUAGAAGCAGCCACCAUUUAAAGAGUGCGUAAUAGCUCACUAGUCGAGUGACUCUGCGCCGAAAAUGUACCGGGGCUAAAUACACCACCGAAGCUGCGGAUUGAUACCGAAUGGUAUCAGUGGUAGGGGAGCGUUCUAAGGACAGUGAAGUCAGACCGGAAGGACUGGUGGAGUGCUUAGAAGUGAGAAUGCCGGUAUGAGUAGCGAAAGACGGGUGAGAAUCCCGUCCACCGAAUGCCUAAGGUUUCCUGAGGAAGGCUCGUCCGCUCAGGGUUAGUCAGGACCUAAGCCGAGGCCGACAGGCGUAGGCGAUGGACAACAGGUUGAUAUUCCUGUACCACCUCUUUAUCGUUUGAGCAAUGGAGGGACGCAGAAGGAUAGAAGAAGCGUGCGAUUGGUUGUGCACGUCCAAGCAGUUAGGCUGAUAAGUAGGCAAAUCCGCUUAUCGUAAAGGCUGAGCUGUGAUGGGGAAGCUCCUUAUGGAGCGAAGUCUUUGAUUCCCCGCUGCCAAGAAAAGCUUCUAGCGAGAUAAAAGGUGCCUGUACCGCAAACCGACACAGGUAGGCGAGGAGAGAAUCCUAAGGUGUGCGAGAGAACUCUGGUUAAGGAACUCGGCAAAAUGACCCCGUAACUUCGGGAGAAGGGGUGCUUUCUUAACGGAAAGCCGCAGUGAAUAGGCCCAAGCGACUGUUUAGCAAAAACACAGCUCUCUGCGAAGCCGUAAGGCGAAGUAUAGGGGGUGACACCUGCCCGGUGCUGGAAGGUUAAGGAGAGGGGUUAGCGUAAGCGAAGCUCUGAACUGAAGCCCCAGUAAACGGCGGCCGUAACUAUAACGGUCCUAAGGUAGCGAAAUUCCUUGUCGGGUAAGUUCCGACCCGCACGAAAGGUGUAACGAUUUGGGCACUGUCUCAACCAGAGACUCGGUGAAAUUAUAGUACCUGUGAAGAUGCAGGUUACCCGCGACAGGACGGAAAGACCCCGUGGAGCUUUACUGUAGCCUGAUAUUGAAUUUUGGUACAGUUUGUACAGGAUAGGCGGGAGCCUUUGAAACCGGAGCGCUAGCUUCGGUGGAGGCGCUGGUGGGAUACCGCCCUGACUGUAUUGAAAUUCUAACCUACGGGUCUUAUCGACCCGGGAGACAGUGUCAGGUGGGCAGUUUGACUGGGGCGGUCGCCUCCUAAAGUGUAACGGAGGCGCCCAAAGGUUCCCUCAGAAUGGUUGGAAAUCAUUCGUAGAGUGCAAAGGCAUAAGGGAGCUUGACUGCGAGACCUACAAGUCGAGCAGGGACGAAAGUCGGGCUUAGUGAUCCGGUGGUUCCGCAUGGAAGGGCCAUCGCUCAACGGAUAAAAGCUACCCCGGGGAUAACAGGCUUAUCUCCCCCAAGAGUCCACAUCGACGGGGAGGUUUGGCACCUCGAUGUCGGCUCAUCGCAUCCUGGGGCUGUAGUCGGUCCCAAGGGUUGGGCUGUUCGCCCAUUAAAGCGGUACGCGAGCUGGGUUCAGAACGUCGUGAGACAGUUCGGUCCCUAUCCGUCGUGGGCGUAGGAAAUUUGAGAGGAGCUGUCCUUAGUACGAGAGGACCGGGAUGGACGCACCGCUGGUGUACCAGUUGUUCUGCCAAGGGCAUAGCUGGGUAGCUAUGUGCGGAAGGGAUAAGUGCUGAAAGCAUCUAAGCAUGAAGCCCCCCUCAAGAUGAGAUUUCCCAUAGCGUAAGCUAGUAAGAUCCCUGAAAGAUGAUCAGGUUGAUAGGUUCGAGGUGGAAGCAUGGUGACAUGUGGAGCUGACGAAUACUAAUAGAUCGAGGACUUAACCAU